rnacentral:pre_miRNA from 1 species
AAUAAGUACAGUUUUACACUAUUCACGUUCAACAUUUGACCAUUCGUUUUAUUUAAACUUUUUUAUGAUUAAUAUUUUUAUUGCUAAAUAUUUUCAAAUUUUUCACAAAUUUUUCAAAUAAGACGGACGGUCAAAUAUUGGACACGGAUAUCUACGGCUGCACUUAUU